GUUAUAGUAAAAGGAGAACUGUUAUAAAGGGAUAUGACUGUAAAAGCUCAAAACAACAACAACAAACAUAUCCCGUGUAAUCCCACAUCCCACAAGUGAAGUCUGAGACAAUAGCAUGUGCAAACCUUACCCUUACCUCAUAGAGUAGAGAUGCAGUUUCUUAAAGAAACUCGGCUCAAAUGCAACAAAUAUCAAAGUAAUUACGGCAGUAGAGGAAACAGGUCAAUUAAUACGAAAAGCACAA
rnacentral:misc_RNA from 1 species